CUAGACCACAAGGCUCGGGGAUUGCACCGCAACAGUCCUGCCUGCGUGUCAGCACCGUGUGGGAGCAGCAGCCUGGGACUGCAUGGCUGCUUGCGUGUGAGGAGACGCUAAGGAGGGACAGAGAUGCUGGAGAUCAGCCUUGCUCACCCACAACACCACCAUCUGGGGGAAGUCCCAGUGUCAUCCUGGAAGACUGGUUGAAGUAGCAGGAGGAGGGGGAGGAGAAAGGAAGCAGAACCAGAGAUGUACCACUGUGGGUACAUCCCUUACCACAGGAAUAGCACUUUUCCAGUUUCUUCUAGCAAAGUUAAACUCAAUACAAUCUGAUCAAGUUUACAGCCCA